GCCGGGCGCGGUGGCGCGUGCCUGUAGUCCCAGCUACUCGGGAGGCUGAGGUGGGAGGAUCGCUUGAGCCCAGGAGUUCUGGGCUGUAGUGCGCUAUGCCGAUCGGGUGUCCGCACUAAGUUCGGCAUCAAUAUGGUGACCUCCCGGGAGCGGGGGACCACCAGGUUGCCUAAGGAGGGGUGAACCGGCCCAGGUCGGAAACGGAGCAGGUCAAAACUCCCGUGCUGAUCAGAAACUAGCUGAGUGUGAACAGAAGGUGCAAAAGAAUAACAGAAUUUUGAAGUUUAAUGUUAGACAUUAUCUGAU
rnacentral:SRP_RNA from 1 species